AAUCUUACCGGGUCCGGACGUAUCGAGGAUUGACAGAUAGUUAUACAUGCCCUACAAGCAAGUAGGAGUCAGGUUUUAAACCUAAUGGCUCUUUCAUGAUUAUAUGAUAGGUGGUGCAUGGCCGUUCUUAGUUCGUGGAGUGAUCUGUCUGCUUAAUUGCGUUUCAAAAUUUAACUUGAGGACCGGGUUUUGGUUUGGCUAGUGGUCCUACGAUGACUGUGAACUGUCAUGUCUUCGGAUGUACGACUAUCGGUCUAGGAUCACAUGACUUGCCCCUGGGACUCUUUUGAACGCAACGGACGUGAUUGCAACCCCUUGUUGAGAUUAGAGAUAGUCUCGAUAUUCACUGGCCAAACUGGCUGCUUUAUGCAGUCUUGUUGAAUGGUGGAUAAACUCGGGGGACUGCUGACUAUAACCAUUUCUCAAAACAGAGGAAGGUUGCGGCAAUAACAGGUCUGUGAUGCCCUCAGAUGUCCCGGGCUGCACACGUGCUACAAUGAGUGGCGCAAUGUGCUAAUGUUUUAAGGGAUAAGCGUGCGGCCAGUAGAACGUCGGGAAAUUCCCCUGGCGUCGCCUGCGCACGAUUAUCAGCCUUCCCUUAACAGGGCGGGCAACCUUUUCAAAAUACCGGUUUGAUAUUAAAGUAUAGAGUCGUUUUUUUUGGAUGGUGGUUUACGAACCAAUACCAUCCGCAACUGCUCGCGAGUUUGUGGUUCUGGUGACUCAUGGUGGGGACCGAUGUUUGUAAUUGUUUGUCGCGUGUCAACUAGGAAUGCCUUGUACUGUCGAUUC
rnacentral:rRNA from 1 species